CCAAAGGCUCUUUUCAGAGCCACCCAACUCAUCAGUUGAAAGAAG
rfam:Fukomys damarensis contig161786, whole genome shotgun sequence.